CAAAGGAUAAAGCAGCUCUUUGGCCUAUGAAUACUCGUAUUACUUGUGUAAGGACUGUGACUGCAGAACUCUUGAUCAUAGUUCCACACUAAUUGUUACAGGGGUUUGAAUCUCUAAGCAGAUCUAUCUCUCCAACUCUCAAUUCCUCUCUAGUCAGGUUUGUCAAGAUGUUUACUUCAAGGAAGAAGAUUCAUAAGGAUAAGGAUGCCGAGCCAAUUGAGUUUGAUGAGUCGGUUGCAUAACUAAGCUAUAUUGCUUUCCUUACCAUUGGAUGCUGGACCUGUGAUAGCCAGUGAAAGAUUGGAAAUUGAUGAUCAAAUUAAGGAUCCAAGCAGAUGACAUCUUUUUUUCGAAAGGGUGCAUUAGUAUUCCCCUGUGGAGGGUCCACAUCACUUGAGGUGCUACUGCAUUUGACAGAAAUCUGAUACUGUCUAGUAUUACUGCUGGGAUAGGAUCAUGGCAUACGGUAGUGCCUUAUGUUGUUUUCUGAACCAUAUCUACUGCUGGGAUAGGACCAAAUGACACAGCUUGCAUCAGUCCACGCACAAUACAGUAGACCUGUGAUACCAACCUCAGCCAUCAAUGAUGGGUAUCGACCCGAAAUGCCUCAAACUGUUCCAGAUUCGCUGCUGAACUGAAAUGGUUGGUUUCACUUACCAUUAGCUGGUUUGAUGGUUAUGUUUGUCUACUUUGAGUUAGUCCUCAAAGCAUUUUGAUGGAAAUUAUUCUUGGACAAGGAUUAUGUUGUUAAAGGGGGGAAAUCUUAGUGAUAUUCCACCUUCAAUAACAAUGUAUGCUAGAAAGCAGCCUUUUUUUUUUGUAAUCCAAGAAUUCACUUUGGUAUGAAAUGUAUUUUGCUAGGAAUGUAAAUAACAUCUUGCUAUGAAUGCAAAGUUUAAUAUUUUCGAUUGA